rnacentral:rRNA from 1 species
UACAGAGGUCCCAAGCGUUGUUCGGAUUCAUUGGGCGUAAAGGGUGCGUAGGUGGCAUGGUAAGUCGGGUGUGAAAUCCCGGGGCUCAACCCCGGAACUGCACUCGAUACUGCCGUGCUCGAGUACUGGAGAGGAGACUGGAAUUUACGGUGUAGUAGUGAAAUGCGUAGAUAUCGUAAGGAAGACCGGUGGCGAAGGCUAGUCUCUGGACAGUUACUGACACUGAGGCACGAAGGCCAGGGGAGCAAACGGG